rnacentral:ncRNA from 1 species
GCUCAACAAGGGCAAAACCAGUGAAAACUGGCGACGCAAAGUUACCGAUCUAAGGGGCAACCUAUGAUAGCGGAACUGCAAAA